CCACCGGCUCUGAGGUGUGCGCUCAGGAAGCCGCCAGGUCCGAAGGAGGGAGUCUCGAAGAGCUGCCGGCUUGAAUGGAACAUCUUAAAGGGGAACAUCCGUUUUCGGAUUUUAGAGCAUCAACCACACGCAACCUCACCGCGUGACAAAGAGGAGGCGGGAGGCGGUGGUCGAAGUGAAAGAAAAUAGACUCAGGCAUUUCCCAUUUUCUGCUGGUCUUUUUGGUGCCUUCCUUCCCCAAGGACCCACGACCCCAGGCUGAGGCCGCUACUGCCCAGCGCAGAGAGCCCAAUUCGGAUCCAAGACGCACGAGACCCGGCCGCCUCUCCGGAACACGAGUAUUAACAACGGCCGUCUCUGAGAAACUGUCCUGUCUUCCCCUCCCGGAGCUUUAGACUAAGAGCCUAAAGCUCACCCUGGAUUUCUUGGUUCUCUUAAAACUUGUGGCGGAAUGCCUUCCUGCACCGGGCAUUUUCUGGAUGUCUAAGGUGCCAGCUUGCUCUGAGCGAGGGGCUCCCUGGUGGAGCCCACCUCGGGCCGCCAGGAGGUGGCGCAGCGGUUCUGGUGCAUCCCCCGCGCGCCACCUCCUGGUGGCGGGUUCCACUGCCCGGCCCGCACCGGAGCGCGGAAGGCUUCGGCCGCGGAAGCUGAGGCGGUCGCCUGGAGAGGGGCGGGCGGGCAAGGCUGCGGAUCUGGCGUUUGGAGGGUUCCAGCCCAGCAACGUGGCUCUUGGGCCUCAGUGUCUUAACGGGUGUCCGUUUUUUUGGAGUGUGCGGGGGUCAAAGAGGCGACAAAGAUACGAAGGAAUCUGCAAUCAGAGGUUUAAAAGCAGUUUCUGAGAUCAGAAAAUGACUUAAGCAGGAGCAACCCGUAAGUUUCUGUGGCGCAAUCGGUUAGCGCGUUCGGCUGUUAACCGAGAGGUUGGUGGUUCGAGCCCACCCAGGGACGGUACUUUUAUUUAAAGACGUUCUUUCCAGCUAUUCAAAAA